rnacentral:tRNA from 1 species
GCUGUAGCUCAGUGGCAGAGCAUCUGCUUUGCCUGCAGAAGGUCCCAGGUUCAAUCCCAGGCUUCUCCA